UCAAGUGCCUUAAGGGUGUUCGGUGGAUGCCUUGGCGCUGAGAGGCGAUGAAGGACGUGCUACGCUGCGAUAAGCCGUGGGGAGCUGCGAAGAAGCUUUGAUCCGCGGAUUUCCGAAUGGGGAAACCCACCUUCGAUAGCCGGAACUCCAAGACCUUGGUUUUGGGGUUCGAUUGGGAGACCGAGAGACUUCAAGAUCAUGACGAUGCAAGUCGUCGAGGUUUUGGAUUUCCGGUUAUCAAGAGAAGGUAUGAGACUUCUGAAUACAUGGGAGGUUUCAAGCGAACCCAGGGAACUGAAACAUCUAAGUACCUGGAGGAAAGGACAUCAACCGAGACUCCGCUAGUAGUGGCGAGCGAACGCGGACCAGGCCAGUCAUGAAUGUAAGCCAACCAGAACCUGUCAGGAAAGCAGGGCCUCAGAGGGUGAUAGCCCCGUAUGGGUAAUGCGAACAUUCAUGCUCGAGUAAGGCGGGACACGUGCAAUCCUGUCUGAACAUGGGGGGACCACCCUCCAAGCCUAAGUACUCCUCAGCGACCGAUAGUGAACCAGUACCGUGAGGGAAAGGUGAAAAGCACCCCGACGAGGGGAGUGAAAUAGACCUGAAACCGGACACCUACAAACAGACGGAGCCCAAGAUGCGUUCUGGGUGACGUCGUACCUUUUGUAUUAUGGGCCAGCGACUUAAUUUAACGAGCAAGCUUAAGCCGAUAGGCGUAGGCGUAGCGAAAGCGAGUCUGAAUAGGGCGUCAAGUUCGUUGUAUUAGACCCGAAACCUAGUGAUCUAGCCAUGAGCAGGUUGAAGGUGAGGUAACACUCACUGGAGGACCGAACGGGUGCCUGUUGAAAAAGGCUCCGAUGACUUGUGGUUAGGGGUGAAAGGCCAAUCAAACUGGGAAAUAGCUGGUUCUCCGCGAAAGAUAUUUAGGUAUCGCCUCGGACGAAUACCUCAGGGGGUAGAGCACUGGAUGGGCUAGGGGGACUUACCGUCUUACCAAACCCAACCAAACUCCGAAUACCUGAGAGUACUAUCCGGGAGUCACACGGCGGGUGCUAACGUCCGUCGUGAAGAGGGAAACAACCCUGACCUACAGCUAAGGCCCCCAAUUCGUGGCUAAGUGGGAAAGGAUGUGGAAAUCCCAAAACAACCAGGAGGUUGGCUUAGAAGCAGCCAUCCUUUAAAGAAAGCGUAACAGCUCACUGGUCUAAAUAAGGGUUUCUGCGCCGAAGAUGUAACGGGGCUCAAGCCACGAGCCGAAGCUUAGGGUGCAUCGCAAGAUGCGCGGUAGCGGAGCGUUCUGUAAGCCUGCGAAGGGCGACCCGUGAGGGCGCCUGGAGGUAUCAGAAGUGCGAAUGCUGGCAUGAGUAACGACAAACACUGUGAAAGACAGUGUCGCCGAAAGUCCAAGGGUUCCUGCGUAAAGUUAAUCUUCGCAGGGUUAGCCGGUCCCUAAGGCGAGGCCGACAGGCGUAGUCGAUGGGAAUGCAGUGAAUAUUCUGCAGCCAGUGGAUGGUGACGAAUUGCGUAUGUUGUCUGACCUUACUGGAUUGGUCGGGCCUCGAAGCAGUUCCAGGAAAUAGCCUCCACAUUAGACCGUACCCGAAACCGACACAGGUGGACUGGUAGAGUAUACCAAGGCGCUUGAGAGAACUAUGUUGAAGGAACUCGGCAAUUUACCUCCGUAACUUCGGGAUAAGGAGGCCCAUUGCUCGCGCAAGCGGGCAGUGGGGGCACAGACCAGGGGGUGGCAACUGUUUAACAAAAACACAGGGCUCUGCGAAAUCGUAAGAUGACGUAUAGGGUCUGACGCCUGCCCGGUGCCGGAAGGUUAAGAGGAGAGGUGCAAGCCUUGAAUCGAAGCCCCGGUAAACGGCGGCCGUAACUAUAACGGUCCUAAGGUAGCGAAAUUCCUUGUCGGGUAAGUUCCGAC
rnacentral:rRNA from 1 species